rnacentral:misc_RNA from 1 species
GUGAAUCAUCAAAUUUUUGAACGCAAAUUGCACUCUCUUCGGAGAGUAUGCCUGUUUGAGGGUCAGCCUAAAAAAAAUCGACAUCGUGUCUGUUUCGCGUUGGCGUUCGUCGGAAAGUGGGUUAUCUUAAAUCUUUGGUUUAUGCGGCUUAAAAUUUUCUUUACGAUUCCAUGAACGUUUCCAUGAUUUAUUUCUUUACACGUUUUAGGUAUCGAUUUUAUUAGGCUUGGUCGUCAUAUCGGAUCAUGUCUAUAAUUUUUUGUUAACUUACCUCAGACAGGUAAGAGUACCUGUUGAAUUU